rnacentral:rRNA from 1 species
GUCGAACGGGAAUUACUUUAUUGAAACUUCGGUCGAUUUAAUUUAAUUCCAUUGGCGGACGGGUGAGUAACGCGUGGGUAACCUGCCUUAUACAGGGGGAUAACAGUCAGAAAUGGCUGCUAAUACCGCAUAAGCGCACAGAGCUGCAUGGCUCGGUGUGAAAAACUCCGGUGGUAUAAGAUGGACCCGCGUUGGAUUAGCUUGUUGGUGGGGUAACGGCCCACCAAGGCGACGAUCCAUAGCCGGCCUGAGAGGGUGAACGGCCACAUUGGGACUGAGACACGGCCCAGACUCCUACGGGAGGCAGCAGUGGGGAAUAUUGCACAAUGGGGGAAACCCUGAUGCAGCGACGCCGCGUGAAGGAAGAAGUAUCUCGGUAUGUAAACUUCUAUCAGCAGGGAAGAUAGUGACGGUACCUGACUAAGAAGCCCCGGCUAACUACGUGCCAGCAGCCGCGGUAAUACGUAGGGGGCAAGCGUUAUCCGGAUUUACUGGGUGUAAAGGGAGCGUAGACGGUGUGGCAAGUCUGAUGUGAAAGGCAUGGGCUCAACCUGUGGACUGCAUUGGAAACUGUCAUACUUGAGUGCCGGAGGGGUAAGCGGAAUUCCUAGUGUAGCGGUGAAAUGCGUAGAUAUUAGGAGGAACACCAGUGGCGAAGGCGGCUUACUGGACGGUAACUGACGUUGAGGCUCGAAAGCGUGG